rnacentral:rRNA from 1 species
GAUGAACGCUGGCGGCGUGCCUAAUACAUGCAAGUCGAGCGAACGGACGAGAAGUUUGCUCCUCUGAUGUUAGCGGCGGACGGGUGAGUAACACGUGGAUAACCUCCCUAUAAGACUGGGAUAACUUCGGGAAACUGGAGCUAAUACCGGAUAAUAUUUUGAACCGCAUGGUUCAAAAGUGAAAGACGGUCUUGCUGUCACUUAUAGAUGGAUCCGCGCUGCAUUAGCUAGUUGGUAAGGUAACGGCCUACCAAGGCAACGAUGCAUAGCCGACCUGAGAGGGUGAUCGGCCACACUGGAACUGAGACACGGUCCAGACUCCUACGGGAGGCAGCAGUAGGGAAUCUUCCGCAAUGGGCGAAGGCCUGACGGAGCAACGCCGCGUGAGUGAUGAGGGUCUUCGGAUCGUAAAACUCUGUUAUUAGGGAAGAACAUAUGUGUAAGUAACUGUGCACAUCUUGACGGUACCUAAUCAGAAAGCCACGGCUAACUACGUG